rnacentral:lncRNA from 1 species
GGUCAGGAGCAUCUCAGCUUUCCAGUGCUCUGCAUGGACUGCGGGACCGGCCAGGAGCAGCUGGAGCUGUGAAGGGCAGCUCCGUGACUCACUCGCACUGUUAAGCCAGACAAGUUUGUAACAUCAAUGCUGUUGUGACCAAUAUUAUAGUCCAAAGAGGGCCUGAAAGCUCUCAGGUAUGAGUAGCACAAACCCAUUCUCAGAAGAGGGAGAGCCAGAGCAACUUGCUUUACCAUUGUGCUUUCUGGAACGAUAGCAGAUUUGGUUAUGAUUUGUUUACAGGAUCAGUAAAACCAUUUCUAACAGUGAUUCCAAGGUAUUUUUGGUCAUAGCGGCUAUUAACAUUGGACUGAUCUCUGGCUUUUCUGGUGGAAAGCUGUGCCUGGGAAGCCCCACACAGGGAAGCUCUGUGAACAGCUGGCUCAGGAAAGUGCACAGGACCAAGCAUAUGCAGAGCUUUUCUAAACUAUGAUUCUGUUUAAAGCCUUUGUGGUUUUGAGAUAAGAUAUCAAGGAAACAGAAUAAAAGCAACUACUCACCAAAAGACUGAGUUGUAUCUGAAUAUCACUUGUGUGCGCAGCUGCCCUCCCCAAAGGACCCACGAGUGCCUGGGGCUGCCUCUGCCAUCCACUUUGCAAGGUGCUCAUGGGCAAUGGAGUUCAUACAGCUUCUGCAAUAUCUCCUGGCCUGAACCUGAUGGCAUGAGGAUCUGAUUCUCCAGUACUCUGAGACACACCAGACGCACUGGGAUGUGUCUACUAUUGAUUUUUUGUGGCAGCAUCAGCUGGGAGCGUCAGCCUAUGGAGACUUUUACUUGAUUCAGUAAAUCAACACAUUUCCCAAAAUGAAGGUGGUUAAUUUUCAGAUUAAGUUUCCUGAUCUAACUGGCUGUGUGGUUUCAUGGCUGCUCACUCUCAGAGAUACAGUAAGAUCACACACCUGAACAAUCACAAGGCUGCCCUUUUCAGACACAGUAUGUAUGCACACUGGCUAACAUUUUCGGGAAGCCUAAGUUUCAACAGUGCUUCUCCAAAGAAUGGAAACAAUAAUUUGCAGAAAUCCUUUAGUCUGACUUUUUCUCGUGAUGUGGUUUGAGCUAGUGGAAAAUCCAAGUCCAGAUUAUGCUCUGGCAACCGUCUCUGUAUCUGCGCCUGAGUGAUGGCCUUCCGGGGAGGAGCAAGCUUGGCACCUCAUCCCUGUACUCAGCAUAAACUCAUUAACUGCUAUGGCUCAGGUGAGGUCUUCUGCAAUCCUGAAGUGAAAUGGUAGAUAAUGAGGAUAUAUAAGUUUGUGAAAGCCGGAGGAGCUAAAUAACUUUUCUGGGAUAGUGACAGACUUCACUUAACACCCUGGAGACAUAGGAAAGUAAGUUAGUUAAACAGAGUCUCAAGAAUGUCUCACAUAGUUUUCUCUGCUGUUCAGGAGCCCAAUUCCCGAUAACAGGACAAUACAUACUAAGUACUUGAGUCAGCUGGCUGCCAAAGUACAAAUCUGGUAUUUGUUCCCAUUGCACAAAGUAGCACUGAUGUCAUAAAAGAUAUGAAAAGCUUUACAUUGUCCUUCUUAUUUUUAAACCACUUUAUACUUUUGUAUUUUGAUUAUUUUUAGUAUAUAUCCUAACAGUAAUGGGUGACAUGCAUCAUUAAGUGUGGAUGAAAAAUAGCGGAUGCAAAUGUGAAUGAAAA